rnacentral:rRNA from 1 species
UACGAAGGGGGCUAGCGUUGCUCGGAAUCACUGGGCGUAAAGGGUGCGUAGGCGGGUUUUUAAGUCAGAGGUGAAAUCCUGGAGCUCAACUCCAGAACUGCCUUUGAUACUGAAAAUCUUGAGUAUGGGAGAGGUGAGUGGAACUGCGAGUGUAGAGGUGAAAUUCGUAGAUAUUCGCAAGAACACCAGUGGCGAAGGCGGCUCACUGGCCCAUUACUGACGCUGAGGCACGAAAGCGUGGGGAGCAAACAGG